rnacentral:lncRNA from 1 species
ACCUGAAAAAAUACUCUGGUGGGAGAGAAGACACAUCCAAGGUUGUGGGCAGGAGGACAAAGGGAGCACCGAGUUGAGUUGUGAAAUUAGGAUGACUGGAGUCAGAGGAAGGAAGAAGGAGAGGAUGAAGGGGAAGAGGAGAGGAUGGAGAGAGGAAGGAGAAAAACUAGGAGAAAGAAACAGGAGCAGAAGAAGGAUGAGAGGAAGAGGAAGAUAGAAGAGAAGACAGCUUUAUUCCUGGACUUUUGUCUCUAAACGAUGUAAUUUCCUUGGAGAAUACAUGAUGCAGGCUCAGGCCAAAGCCUUCCUGUCCUAACCAUCACACACCUCCUCAUCUUUGUCUCUCCUGCUGCAGGCCAGAUGCAUGAUGACCUCUGAAGUGUCCUACAUGGCUGUGGAGGGCAACACUGCAGUGUGUGCAUGGGUGUGUGUGUGUGUG